rnacentral:rRNA from 1 species
CCUACGGGAGGCAGCAGUGGGGAAUAUUGCACAAUGGGGGGAACCCUGAUGCAGCAACGCCGCGUGGGUGAAGAAGGACUCCGGGAUGUAAAGCCCUGUCAGCAGGGAAGAAAAUGACGGUACCUGACCAAGAAGCCCCGGCUAACAACGUGCCAGCAGCCGCGGUAAAACGUAGGGGGCAAGCGUUAUCCGGAUUGACUGGGGGAAAAGUGAGCGUAGGCGGUAAGGCAAGUCUGGAGUGAAAGCCCUGGGCCCAACCAUGGGACUGCUUGGGAAACUGUGAUGCUGGAGGGCAGGAGGGGUAAGCGGAAUUCCUGGUGUAGUGGUGAAAUGCGUAGAUAUCAGGAGGAACACCGGUGGCGAAGGCGGCUUACUGGACUGUAACUGACGUUGAGGCUCGAAGGCGUGGGGAGCAAACAGGAUUAGAUACCCGAGUAGUC